GCUCUAGUAGCUUAUCACUUUAAAGCGUUGUCCUUGUAAGCCAAAGCUGGGCCCAACCCCUAGAACA
rnacentral:tRNA from 1 species